rnacentral:hammerhead_ribozyme from 1 species
AUUCAGCUGACGAGUCCCGAAUAGGACGAAACACGAGUCCUGGAU